UACGUAGGGGGCUAGCGUUGUCCGGAAUCAUUGGGCGUAAAGCGCGUGUAGGCGGCCCGAUAAGUCCGCUGUGAAAGUCCAGGGCUCAACCCUGGGAUGCCGGUGGAUACUGUCGGGCUCGAGUCCGGAAGAGGCGAGUGGAAUUCCUGGUGUAGCGGUGAAAUGCGCAGAUAUCGGGAGGAACACCAGUGGCGAAGGCGACUACCUGGCCUGUUCUUGACGCUGAGGCGCGAAAGCUAGGGGAGCAAACGGG
rnacentral:rRNA from 1 species